AGUGAACGCUGGCGGUAGGCCUAACACAUGCAAGUCGAACGGCAGCACAGUAAGGGCUUGCUCUUACGGGUGGCGAGUGGCGGACGGGUGAGGAAUACAUCGGAAUCUACUUUUUCGUGGGGGAUAACGUAGGGAAACUUACGCUAAUACCGCAUACGACCUACGGGUGAAAGCAGGGGAUCUUCGGACCUUGCGCGAUUGAAUGAGCCGAUGUCGGAUUAGCUAGUUGGCGGGGUAAAGGCCCACCAAGGCGACGAUCCGUAGCUGGUCUGAGAGGAUGAUCAGCCACACUGGAACUGAGACACGGUCCAGACUCCUACGGGAGGCAGCAGUGGGGAAUAUUGGACAAUGGGCGCAAGCCUGAUCCAGCCAUACCGCGUGGGUGAAGAAGGCCUUCGGGUUGUAAAGCCCUUUUGUUGGGAAAGAAAAGCAGCAGGUUAAUACCCCGCUGUUCUGACGGUACCCAAAGAAUAAGCCCCGGCUAACUUCGUG
rnacentral:rRNA from 1 species